UAACCCAUAGAAUCCCCCAUAGGAUCCCCCAUAGGAUCCCUCAUAACCCCAUAGCAUCCCCCAUAACCCCAUAGCAUCCCCCAUAACCCCAUAGGAUCCUCCAUAAGCCCAUAGGAUCCCCCAUAACCCCAUAGGAUCCUCAAUAACCCUAUAGGAUCCCCCAUAACCCCCUAGGGUCCCCCAUAAGCCCAUAGGACCCCCUAUAGGAUCCCCCAUAGGGUCGCCCAUAGGGUCACCCAUAAGCCCAUAGGAUCCCCCAUAAGCCCAUAGGAUCCCCCAUAGGGUCACCCAUAGGGUCCCCCAUAGGAUCCCCCAUUACCCCAUAGGAUCCCACAUGACCCCAUAGAAUCCCCCAUAACCCCAUAGGAUCCCCCAUAGGCCCAUAGGAUCCCCCAUAACCCCAUAGGAUCCCCCAUAGGAUCCCCCAUAACCCCAUAGCAUCCCCCAUGACCCCAUAGGAUGCCCCAUUACCCAUAGGGUCCCCCAUAGGAUCCCACAUGACCCCAUAGGGUCCCCCAUAAGCCCAUACGAUCCCCCAUAGGCCCAUAGGAUCCCCCAUAAGCCCAUAGGAUCCCCCAUAGGCCCAUAGGAUCCCCCAUAACCCCAUAACAUCCCCCAUGACCCCAUAGGAUCCCCCAUAGGAUCCCCUAUAGGAUCCCCCAUAGGAUCCCCUAUAGGAUCCCCCAUAGGGUCCCCCAUAGGAUCCCCCAUAAGCCCAUAGG